rnacentral:rRNA from 1 species
AACGAACGCUGGCGGCAUGCCUAACACAUGCAAGUCGAACGAGACCUUCGGGUCUAGUGGCGCACGGGUGCGUAACGCGUGGGAACCUGCCCUUGGGUUCGGAAUAACUCCCCGAAAGGGGUGCUAAUACCGGAUAAUGUCUUCGGACCAAAGAUUUAUCGCCUUUGGAUGGGCCCGCGUUGGAUUAGCUAGUUGGUAGGGUAAAAGCCUACCAAGGCGACGAUCCAUAGCUGGUCUGAGAGGAUGAUCAGCCACACUGGGACUGAGACACGGCCCAGACUCCUACGGGAGGCAGCAGUGGGGAAUAUUGGACAAUGGGCGAAAGCCUGAUCAAGCAAUGCCGCGUGAGUGAUGAAGGCCUUAGGGUUGUAAGGCUCUUUUACCCGGGAUGAUAAUGACAGUACCGGGAGAAUAAGCUCCGGCUAACUCCGUG